rnacentral:tRNA from 1 species
CGCUAGGAAGCUAAAACUAUUGGACAAAGCAUUGGCCUUUUAAGCCGAAGAUUGGUGAUUCCCGACCACCCCUAGUGA